rnacentral:rRNA from 1 species
GGGUUGUGAGGUUAAGCGACUAAGCGUACACGGUGGAUGCCCUGGCAGUCAGAGGCGAUGAAGGACGUGCUAAUCUGCGAAAAGCGUCGGUAAGGUGAUAUGAACCGUUAUAACCGGCGAUGUCCGAAUGGGGAAACCCAGUGCAAUUCGUUGCACUAUCGUUAACUGAAUACAUAGGUUAACGAGGCGAACCGGGGGAACUGAAACAUC